rnacentral:rRNA from 1 species
GCCCAGACUCCUACGGGAGGCAGCAGUAGGGAAUUUUGCGCAAUGGGGGAAACCCUGACGCAGCAACGCCGCGUGAUUGAUGAAGCCCUUCGGGGUGUAAAGAUCUGUCAGUGGGGACGAAACUUGACGGUACCCACAGAGGAAGCAUCGGCUAACUCCGUGCCAGCAGCCGCGGUAAUACGUAGGGGGCAAGCGUUAUCCGGAUUUACUGGGUGUAAAGGGAGCGUAGACGGCGAUACAAGUCUGAGGUGAAAGCCCGGGGCUCAACCCCGGGACUGCUUUGGAAACUGUGUUGCUGGAGUGCUGGAGAGGCAAGCGGAAUUCCUAGUGUAGCGGUGAAAUGCGUAGAUAUUAGGAAGAACACCAGUGGCGAAGGCGGCUUGCUGGACAGUAACUGACGUUGAGGCUCGAAAGCGUGGGGAGCAAACAGGAUUAGAUACCCCCGUAGA